GAAAUGCGAUAAGUAAUGUGAAUUGCAGAAUUCAGUGAAUCAUCGAAUCUUUGAACGCACAUUGCGCCCCUUGGUAUUCCGGGGGGCAUGCCUGUUCGAGCGUCAUUUCAACCCUCAAGCUCUGCUUGGUAUUGGGCUUCGUCCUCUGCGGACGCGCCUCAAAGACCUCGGCGGUGGCGUCUUGCCUCAAGCGUAGUAGAAAACACCUCGCUUUGGAGCGCACGGCGCCGCCCGCCGGACGAACCUUUGAAUUUUUUCUCAAGGUUGACCUCGGAUCAGGUAGGGAUACCCGCUGAACUUAA
rnacentral:misc_RNA from 1 species